CUUCCUUUUCUUUCCCAAUUUUCCUUACCACCGCCGCUCAAUCUCCCUUCUUUCGUUCCCUGCCCGAUUCUCACCUCACAAGCGCCACCCUCUCCCCAAAUCCACCGUCGGCCUCUUCUUCUUCCUUGAGCCACAGUCGUCGGUCUCCUUCACCUCUUCUUCUUACGCGAUCUCACUCGAUCGCCGAUGGUGUCUCCGCUGCCUCGUCGCGCGCCAGCACUGAUCGAUUGCCGACGCCGCCGUGGAAGGAGGGAGUUGCUGACCUCUUCAUCGCCAGUCUUCUCCCUUCUCUCUGUGGAGUCUUUCCCCUCUUUCCCGUGAUUUACCCUCGCCCGAUCGCCGGUUGCUCGUGAGCUCACCGUCGACGGAGGCCUUCGCCUCACCUGGCUACUGGACUGACCCGAUUCAAGUCGCUUCUCCUUCUUCCUCAGCGCCGAUUCACUGCUGUCUUCCUCCUACUGGUUGCGGACACCCGACGCCAAGCCAUGUCCAGCUUCUUACUAUCUGUGCAAUGGUUUGCCAAGGAACAGAGAUGGAGUUGGGAGAUCGAUUUGCCCUUUCACAUGCUGACGGGACCUAGGGCAAUAGCUACUAUGCUAUUGUUUUGUGCUGCAUUCAACAGCUGAUCAUUGGUGAACCUGCUGCCCUGCUGCCACUGUGGAGCCAUCUUUCCAUUGGAUUCGACAAGGGGGAUCUCCACCCAGCUAUUACAGAACAAAUUGGGGUAGCAGGUAGAUGAAUCAAGGUCCGACGUCACACUCGAGGACAGUUUCUUUUUAAUCUUAUUUCUGUUUGGUAGUAAAGUGAUUUUGCGCAUUUUUGUUUUCUAAUAAGUCGAUGUGGAUUUUGGAGUCUAGUGUGGUGGUUGCAGAUAUUUUAGUUAGUGACUUUGUUGGUUUUACAUUUGUGUGAUUUUAUGAUUUUUCAUUGUACUUUCAGUCGUGUGGGCUGUUAUUAUACUGCCUGAUUGUGUGUUUACUUUCAACCGUGUAAGCUUAUUAAACUGUGUGGUUAUGCUUAUAUCCAGCCGUGUGGGAUGUUGAAAAUGUUAUAUGUUGUGUAUGUAUUUAUUA